rnacentral:lncRNA from 1 species
GUCGCUGAUGAGGUUCCUCAUCAAGGGAAGUGUGGCUGGGGGCGCCGUCUACCUGGUGUACGACCAGGAGCUGCUGGGGCCCAGCGACAAGAGCCAGGCAGCCCUACAGAAGGCUGGGGAGGUGGUCCCCCCCGCCAUGUACCAGUUCAGCCAGUACGUGUGUCAGCAGACAGGCCUGCAGAUACCCCAGCUCCCAGCCCCUCCAAAGAUUUACUUUCCCAUCCGUGACUCCUGGAAUGCAGGGAUCUAAAAGGGAAAGGAGGCCGAGCACAGUGGCUCACGCCUGUAAUCCCAGCACUUUGGGAGGCUGAGGUGGGCGGAUCAUCUGAAGUCAGGAGUUCGAGACCAGCCUGGGCAACAUGGUGAAACCCCAUCUCUACUAAAAAUACAAAAAUUAACCGUGCGUGGUGGUGCACACCUGUAAUCCCAGCUGCUGCUUGAGAGGCUGAAGCAGGAGAAUUGCUUGAACCCAGGAGGCAGAGGUUGCAGUGAGCCGAGGUUGCACCACUGCACUCCAGCCUGGGCGACAGGGCGAGACUCCAUCUCAAAAAAAUAAAAUACAAAAAUUAGCCUGGUAUGGUGGCGCACUUGUAGUCCCAGCUACUUGGGAGGCUGAGGCAAGAGAAUCGCUUGAACCCAGGAGGCGAAGGUUGCAGUGAGCCGAGAUUGCACUACUGCACUCCAGCCUGGGAGACAGAGCAUCAUGACGGUGAUGUCAGCUCUGUCGGUGGCCCCCUCCAAGGCCCGCGAGUACUCCAAGGAGGGCUGGGAGUAUGUGAAGGCGCGCACCAAGUAGCGAGUCAGCAGGGGCCGCCUGCCCCGGCCAGAACGGGCAGGGCUGCCACUGACCUGAAGACUCCGGACUGGGACCCCACUCCGAGGGCAGCUCCCGGCCUUGCCGGCCCAAUAAAGGACUUCAGAAGUG